rnacentral:tRNA from 1 species
GGAGAGGUGGCCGAGUGGCUGAAGGCGCCCGCCUGCUAAGCGGGUAUAGGGGUAUUCCCCCUAUCGAGGGUUCGAAUCCCUCCCUCUCCGCCA